rnacentral:rRNA from 1 species
CAGUCGCCGCGGUAAUACGAAGGGUGCAAGCGUUAAUCGGAAUUACUGGCGUAAAGCGUGCGUAGGCGGUGAGUUAAGUCUGCUGUGAAAUCCCCGGGCUCAACCUGGGAAUGGCAGUGGAUACUGGCUCGCUAGAGUGUGUCAGAGGAUGGUGGAAUUCCCGGUGUAGCGGUGAAAUGCGUAGAGAUCGGGAGGAACAUCAGUGGCGAAGGCGGCCAUCUGGGACAACACUGACGCUGAGGCACGAAAGCGUGGGGAGCAAACAGGAUUAGAGACCCGUGUAGUCCCUGUCUCUUAUACC